UGCAUCAUGCGUGAGUAUAAGCUAGUCGU
rnacentral:piRNA from 1 species